rnacentral:rRNA from 1 species
UACGAGGGGGGCGAGCGUUGUUCGGAAUUACUGGGCGUAAAGCGUGCGCAGGCGGCUUCUCAAGUCAGGGGUGAAAGCCCAGAGCUCAACUCUGGAAUUGCCUUUGAGACUGAGUGGCUUGAGUACGGGAGAGGUGAGUGGAAUUCCCAGUGUAGAGGUGAAAUUCGUAGAUAUUGGGAAGAACACCGGUGGCGAAGGCGGCUCACUGGCCCGUAACUGACGCUCAUGCACGACAGCGUGGGGAUCAAACAGG